rnacentral:tRNA from 1 species
CGACUUAGCUCAGCGGGCAGAGCCAUGGGCUGUUUACCCAGGGGUCCCUGGUUCAAUUCCAG